rnacentral:rRNA from 1 species
AGAGUUUGAUCCUGGCUCAGAACGAACGCUGGCGGCGUGGAUAAGACAUGCAAGUCGAACGAGAGAAUUGCUAGCUUGCUAAUAAUUCUCUAGUGGCGCACGGGUGAGUAACACGUGAGUAACCUGCCCCCGAGAGCGGGAUAGCCCUGGGAAACUGGGAUUAAUACCGCAUAGAAUCGCAAGAUUAAAGCAGCAAUGCGCUUGGGGAUGGGCUCGCGGCCUAUUAGUUAGUUGGUGAGGUAACGGCUCACCAAGGCGAUGACGGGUAGCCGGUCUGAGAGGAUGUCCGGCCACACUGGAACUGAGACACGGUCCAGACACCUACGGGUGGCAGCAGUCGAGAAUCAUUCACAAUGGGGGAAACCCUGAUGGUGCGACGCCGCGUGGGGGAAUGAAGGUCUUCGGAUUGUAAACCCCUGUCAUGUGGGAGCAAAUUAAAAAGAUAGUACCACAAGAGGAAGAGACGGCUAACUCUGUGCCAGCAGCCGCGGUAAUACAGAGGUCUCAAGCGUUGUUCGGAAUCACUGGGCGUAAAGCGUGCGUAGGCUGUUUCGUAAGUCGUGUGUGAAAGGCGCGGGCUCAACCCGCGGACGGCACAUGAUACUGCGAGACUAGAGUAAUGGAGGGGGAACCGGAAUUCUCGGUGUAGCAGUGAAAUGCGUAGAUAUCGAGAGGAACACUCGUGGCGAAGGCGGGUUCCUGGACAUUAACUGACGCUGAGGCACGAAGGCCAGGGGAGCGAAAGGGAUUAGAUACCCCUGUAGUCCUGGCAGUAAACGGUGCACGCUUGGGGUGCGGGGAAUCAACCCCCUGCGUGCCCGAACUAACGCGUUAA